GAUGAAGAACGUAGCGAAAUGCGAUAAGUAAUGUGAAUUGCAGAAUUCAGUGAAUCAUCGAAUCUUUGAACGCACAUUGCGCCUGCCAGUAUUCUGGCGGGCAUGCCUGUCCGAGCGUCAUUUCAACCCUCGAACCCCUCCGGGGGGUCGGCGUUGGGGACCUCGGGAGCCCCUAAGACGGGAUCCCGGCCCCGAAAUACAGUGGCGGUCUCGCCGCAGCCUCUCCUGCGCAGUAGUUUGCACAACUCGCACCGGGAGCGCGGCGCGUCCACGUCCGUAAAACACCCAACUUCUGAAAUGUUGACCUCGGAUCAGGUAGGAAUACCCGCUGAACUUAAGCAUAUCAAUAAGCGGAGGA
rnacentral:misc_RNA from 1 species